GGAGAGAUGGUAGAGUGGUCGAUUACAACGGUCUUGAAAACCGUCGUACCGAGAGGUACCGGGGGUUCGAAUCCCUCUCUCUCCGCUA
rnacentral:tRNA from 8 species